UACGUAGGGGCCUAGCGUUGUCCGGAUUUAUUGGGCGUAAAGAGCUCGUAGGCGGUUCGGUAAGUCAGGUGUGAAAUCUCCACGCUCAACGUGGAGGCGCCACCUGAAACUGCCGUGACUCGAGUCCGGUAGGGGAGUGUGGAAUUCCCGGUGUAGCGGUGAAAUGCGCAGAUAUCGGGAGGAGCACCAAUGGCGAAGGCAGCACUCUGGGCCGGUACUGACGCUGAGGAGCGAAAGCGUGGGGAGCGAACAGG
rnacentral:rRNA from 1 species